GACAGAGGAUGCAAGCGUUAUCCGGAAUGAUUGGGCGUAAAGCGUCUGUAGGUGGCUUUUUAAGUCCGCCGUCAAAUCCCAGGGCUCAACCCUGGACAGGCGGUGGAAACUACCAAGCUGGAGUACGGUAGGGGCAGGAGGGAAUUUCCGGUGGAGCGGUGAAAUGACGUAGAUAUGCGGAGGAACACCGAUGGCGAAGGCAAUCCCCUGGGCCUGUACUGACGCUCAUGCACGAAAGCGUGGGGAGCAAACAGG
rnacentral:rRNA from 1 species